UACGUAGGUGGCAAGCGUUGUCCGGAAUUAUUGGGCGUAAAGCGCGCGCAGGCGGCCUUUUAAGUCUGAUGUGAAAGCCCACGGCUCAACCGUGGAAGGUCAUUGGAAACUGAAAGGCUUGAGUACAGAAGAAGAAAGCGGAAUUCCACGUGUAGCGGUGAAAUGCGUAGAUAUCUGGAGGAACACCGGUGGCGAAGGCGGCAUCCUGGACCAAUAUUGACGCUGAGGAGCGAAAGCUAGGGGAGCAAACGGG
rnacentral:rRNA from 1 species